rnacentral:rRNA from 1 species
AGCUCCAGUAGCGUAUAUUAAAGUUGUUGCAGUUAAAAAGCUCGUAGUCAGAUUUUGGACUUUGAGAAUUGGUCUGGCUUUGUUGUCAGUAUUGAUUUUUGAGGUCUUUCUUUCUGGGGAAGCUGUUUGCUAUUAAUUUAGUGGGCAGUGUAUCCAGGACUUUUACUUUGAAAAAAUUAGAGUGUUUAAAGCAAGCAAUCGCUUGAAUACAUUAGCAUGGAAUAAUAGAAUAGGACUUUGGUUCUAUUUUGUUGGUUUCUAGGACCGAAGUAAUGAUUAAUAGGGAUAGUUGGGGGCAUUAGAAUCGACAUGUCAGAGGUGAAAUUCUUGAAUUUUGUCGCGUCUAACUUCUGCGAAAGCAUUUGCCAAGGAUGUUUUCAUUGAUCAAGAACGAAAGUAC